rfam:Picea glauca, whole genome shotgun sequence.
UAUCACGUUUUUUUCAAAACGACAAAUAGGAAAAAAAAAAUGUGCU